rnacentral:rRNA from 1 species
UACAGAGGAUGCAAGCGUUAUCCGGAAUGAUUGGGCGUAAAGCGUCUGUAGGUGGCUUUUUAAGUCCGCCGUCAAAUCCCAGGGCUCAACUCUGGACAGGCGGUGGAAACUACCAAGCUGGAGUACGGUAGGGGCAGAGGGAAUUUCCGGUGUAGCGGUGAAAUGCGCAGAUAUCAGGAAGAACACCCGUGGCUAAGGCGGCUCUCUAGUACGGUACUGACGCUGAGACGCGAAAGCGUGGGGAGCGAACAGG